rnacentral:rRNA from 1 species
UGGGGAAUAUUGCACAAUGGGCGAAAGCCUGAUGCAGUAACGCCGCGUGAGUGAUGAAGGUCUUCGGAUUGUAAAGCUCUGUCUUUUGGGACGAUAAUGACGGUACCAAAGGAGGAAGCCACGGCUAACUACGUGCCAGCAGCCGCGGUAAUACGUAGGUGGCGAGCGUUGUCCGGAUUUACUGGGCGUAAAGGGUGCGUAGGCGGAUGUUUAAGUGAGAUGUGAAAUACCCGGGCUUAACUUGGGUGCUGCAUUUCAAACUGGAUAUCUAGAGUGCAGGAGAGGAGAAUGGAAUUCCUAGUGUAGCGGUGAAAUGCGUAGAGAUUAGGAAGAACACCAGUGGCGAAGGCGAUUCUCUGGACUGUAACUGACGCUGAGGCACGAAAGCGUGGGUAGCAAACAGGAUUAGAUACCCUGGUAGUCCACGCCGUAAACGAUGAGUACUAGGUGUAGGAGGUAUCGACCCCUUCUGUGCCGCAGUAAACACA